UCUACUGCUGAUGGGCAUUAGGUUGAUUCCAUGUCUUAGCUAUUGUGAAUUGAGCUGCAAUAAACAUUGAAGAGCAGACAGCUCUUUUGUUUGCCUUAAAGAUUCAUUUUAUUUAUAUAAAUGGCAAAGUGACAGAAAGAGAUCUUCUAUCCACAUGUUCCCCCCAAAUGGCUGCAAUGGCUAAGUCUGGAAGAGGCCAAAGCUGGGAGCCAGGAACUCCAUCAGGGUCUCCAAUGUGGGUGGUAGGGGCCCACAUACUUGGGCCAUUUUCUACUACAUUGGAAGGUAAAAUAUCUUGGAGCUGUGUUGUAAGUGGAGCCCCAGGGCUUGAACAGUUGUUCCAAUGUUUUAUGCUGGCAUCGCAAACAGUGGCUUAACCUACUGUACCAUAACGUUCACCAAUUACUGAUAAUUAAUUUGAUAUUUGAAAUCUACUUUGAUAUCACAUACUUUUUUGUUUAUUUUCAUUUCUCAUCUUCUCUUGUUCCUUCCUUUGUCAGGGUUUGGAAAACUCAAUGCUGCGUUAGUUCAUCAGUAUUGAGCAACUGGUCGUUAUUGUGCAAACCAAUAAAACGUGAACUGAAUGUGACAACUCACAGUUCUGAACAUAAUGUACACUAAUACUAUUUAUAAAUCCUGGUAUGCACUGGUUACUGACAUGGUGUGGCACAGGGUAGGCUUACAUGCUUUAUACAGAACUCAUAUGAUCACUUUCACCAUUAUGAGGGAGAGAUUUAUCUCCAUUUUAGAAUUAAGGGAAUUACAUCAUUGAAAAUUUAUUCAACUUGCCAAGGUAACAAGCUAGAAAAUGACAGAAAUAUGUUUGAGUCUCUGCUUAUGAUAUCUGUCUGAUAUACUAAGGAGUGGCUUUGCUGUUUAGGGUGGUUCUUUGUACCUCUUAAUACUGAGUAGUAGUGAGUACUUCUCUUCUAAGUAGGGUUUUUUUGCUGUUUGUUGUUUUUAUUGUUGCUCUUUGGUUUUUGCUUCUGGGUUUUUUUAUUUGGCCAAUUAAAGUUUUCAGAGAGCCUAAUAGUAAGUGCUAUACCCAGACUUUGAUCCAGCCCCAGCUGUUGCCAGCAUUUGAGGAAUGAACCAGUAGAUGGGAAGCCUGUUUCAUUCUCUCUCUUUCUCUCCCUCUCUGUUUGUCUGUCUUUCUUUCUCUUUACUCUCUACAACUCCCUCUCAAAUAAAUAUAUUUUUUAAAAAGGGAAAAGGGAUAAUGUCCUAAUGUUUAUAUAUUUCAGGAGGAUCACCAAGUUAACAAGCCAAACAUCUUAGCCACAAGGACUAAAGCCUUCACAUCAGAAACUUAGGGCAAUGAAAUAGACAAGGUUCAAAUGAAUCAGUUAAAAUAAAAUUUUACCUAAAAGAAGAAACGAGAAACAGAAGAGUCUUGAAUACUCCAAUAGAAAGCUGGCUAUGUGGAUUUAUUGAAAUGGCCUCUCAGCCAUACGGGUUGGGAGAUGCUGGUCCAAGAUACUACUGGAGUAUAAGAAGACUGAUUUUUGGACAUUGAUUUUGUAUUCUGAAACCUUGCUUAAGUUGUUUAUUAGUUUUGAGAGGUUUUUUGGUGGAAUCUUUGGGAUUUCCAUGUAUAAGAUCAUAUCAUCUUCAAACUGUGACAAUUUAACUUUUUCAUUUCCAAUUGGAUGCUCUAUUUCUUUCCUCUGCCUUGUGCUCCAGCUAGGAAUUCCAGUACUAUGUUGGAUAAAAGUGGUGAGUAUAGGCAUCCUUAUCCUAUUCUGGAUCUCUGUUAUAUACUGUCAUCAUGAAAGGAUGUUGAAUUUUUUAAAAUACUCUUUUUUGCAUUUAUUGAGAUAAUGAUAUUAUUUUUGUCCUUCAUUCAGUUUAUGUGAUGCAUCACAUUUUUUAUUUGAGUAUGCUAAUGUACCCUUGCAUCUCUGGGAUGAAUUCUCUUCAUCAUGAUGAGUGAUCUUUUUUAUAACGAUUUAUUUAUUUAUUUAUUUGAAAGUCAGAGUUACACAGAGAGAGGAGGAGAGGCAGAGAGAGAGAGAGAGAGAGAGAGUCUUCCACCCACUGGUUCACUCCCUAAAUGAGGCACAAUGUUUAGAGCUGGGACAAUCCAAAGCCAGGAGCCAGGAGAUUCCUCCGAAUCUCCCAAGUGGGUGCAGGGGCCCAAGGACUUGGGUCAACUUAUACUGCUUUUCUAGGCUAUGGCAGAGAGAUGUUUAAAAGCGGAGCAGCUGGGACUCAUACUGGAGCCCAUACGGGAUGACGGCACUGCAGGCAGCAGCUUUACCCACUACGCCACAGCGCCGGCACCUGAAUGAUCUUUUUAAUGUGCUGUUGGGUUCAAUUUGCUAGUAUGUUGUUGAGGGUUUUUGCCUCUAUGUUUAUCAAGAAUAUUAACCAGUAGUUUUUUUUUUUCUUAUGUCAUUAUCUGAUUUUGGUUUCAAGAAUAUUGCAACCAUAGAAUGAAUUUGGAACAAUUCCCUCCUUUUCUGUUUUUUGAAAUAAUUUAAUAAUUGGUGUUAAUUCUCCUUUAAAUGUUUGGUAGAACUCUACAGUGAAGCAAUCUUGUCCUGGGCUUUUUUCCCUGGCUUUAAAAAAUAUAUUUUUUAUUUGGAAGACUUAAAAAAAGAUUUAUUUAUUUGGAAGAAGGGAGAGGGAGAGGCAGAGACAGAGAGAUCUUGCAAUGCAGGUUCACUCCCAAGAUGGCCACAUGGUCAGGGUUGGGCCAGGAUAGAGCUCGGAGCAUCAUCUAGGUCUCCCACAUUGGUGGCAGGGGCUCAAACACUUGGGCCAUCUUCUGCUACUUUCCACAGUCCAUCUGCAGGAAGCUGGUUUAGAAGUGGAGCAACUGGGACAUGAACCAGUGUUGAUAUGGGAGCCAGCAUCACAAAUGGCAGCUUUACACACUAUGCUACAAUGUCCGCCCCAGUAGUAGACUAUUUAUUACUCAUUCAACCUCACCUCAUUAUUGUUCUGUCUAGGUAUUCUAUUUCUUCAUGAUUCAAUCUUGGUAACUUGUAUGUGUUUAGGAAUUUGUCAGUUUCUUCUAGAUUAUCAAAUCUGUUGCAGCAUAAUUUUUUAAAUUAAAAAUUUUAUUUAUUUGAAAGGCAGAGUUAUGGAGGGAGAGAGGAAGGGAGGGAGGGAGAGAGAGAGAGGUCUUUUAUCUGCUGGUUCACUCCCCAAAUGACCAUAACCCAAGCCGAGGCCAGGAACUUCUUCCAGGUCUCCUACGUGGGUGCAGAAGCCCAAGGACAUGGGCCAUGCUUUGAUGCAUUACAAAUUGUAAUUUUGAUUACAUUAGCAGGGAGCUGGAUCAGAAGUGGAGUAGCUGGGUUUCCAACAAGCACCCAUAUGGGAUGUUGGCACAGCAGGCUGUGGCUUAACCCACUGAGUUUUCUUAGUUUGGCUAAGAUUUGUCAAUUUUGUUUAUUUUUGAAAGAACCGACCCUGUGUUUCAUUGAUGAUUUUUUCUCUUUGAGAAUCUUUUAGUUGUGCUCUGAGUUUUGUUAUUUCUUUCCUUCUACUAAUGUUGGGUUUGACUUUUUCUUGUUUUUCUAGUUCCUUGGGAGUAAAAUGAUAAGUUGUUUAUUUUAGAUCUGUUCUCUUUUGAUACAGGCAUUGGCUUCUAUAAACUUCCCUCUUAGUGGUGUUUUUGUUCUAUCCCAUAGGUUUUGUGUUGUGUUUCCAUCUUCUUGCAUUUCAGAAAUUUUUAAGUUUCCUUCUUAAUUCCCUCCUCAACCAUUGUAGUUCAGAAGUACAUCAUUUAAUUUCUACAUAUUUAUAUAGUUUUUAAUGUGUCAUUAUUACUGAUUUCUAAUUUUAUUGCAUUGUGAUCAGAAAAGAAUCAGUAGAAUUUUUAUUUAGUUUUAGACAUAUUUAGACAGCUUUUUUUUUUUUUACAAAAUUUUAUUUUAUGUAUUUGAAAGGCAGAGUUACAGAGAAAGAGAGGGGGGGAGACAGAGAGAUCUUCCAUCUGCUGGUUCAUUCCCUAAAUGGCCCUAGUGGCCGAGGCUGGACCAGAGCAAAGCCAGGAGUCAGGAGGUUCAUCUCAUUCUCCCACAUGAGUGCAGCAGCCUAAACACUUGGCCCAUCUUCUGCUGCUUUCCCAAGCUGGAUUAGAAGUAGUGCUGGGACUCAAACCAGUGCCCAUGUGGUAUGCUGGCUUUGCAGACUCUGGUUUAACCCACUAAGCCAUAAUGCCAGCCCCAGGCUUUUUACUUUUUUAAAAAAUAUUGAUACUUGUUUUGUGACCUACUGAAUGAUCUGUGCUGGAGAACAUUUCAUGUAUUGUAAGAAUAAAGUGUAUUAUUUAGCUUUUAGAUGGGCAAUUAAUUCUGUUUCUUUGCUAGUUUCUGCCUGGAUGAUCUGUCUGUACAUAUCUGAAAGUGGGUGUUAAAGUCCCCUAUUCUUAUUGUGUUAAAGUCUAGAUGUAUUAAUGUUUGUUGUAUGUAUUCAUAUACUCUAAUAUUGGGUACAUAUAUUUCUAUAAUUGUUAUUUCAUCUUGUUGUAUUGAUCACUUUUUUAUUAUAUAACAGCCUUGUCUUUUUAUUUUAUUUUAUUUAUUUAUUUUAUUUAAAAUAAAUUCCAUCUGAUAUAAAUAUCUAAUUCCUGCUUUCUUUUGAGCUCCAUUUGCAAGGAAUGUCUUACUCCUUAUUGUUUUCAGUCUGUGCAUAUCCUUAGUGAUGAAGUGAGUUCCUUGUAAGCAGUAUACAUUUGUAUCUUUUUUCAAAAAUACGUUUGCUUGCUCUAUGUCUUUUAAUUAGAGAAUUUAAGUCCUUUUACAUUUUAGGGAGUUAUUUAUAGAUGAGGUCUUGCUACUGUCAUUUUGAUAUAUGUUGUCUAGUUUUAUUGUGAUUCCAUUCUUUCUCUUAGAAUUUUCCUUUGAAGAUAAAUGAUUUUUCUCUAGUCAUGUGUUUUCAUAGCUUGCUUAUUAUUUUUGGUAAAUCUAGUGUAGAUUUUUAUUUUGUGGUUACUUUGAGACUUAUAAAUUUUUUAUUAUAACAGGUUAUUCUGAAAUGAUGAAAAUCUAAAAUUUGCUGUAAAUUUAGGAAAAGAAACAAAGAGGUAGGAAAUACUAAUAAAGAACUCUAUACUUAUACACCCUCCCUCAGCACAUUUUAAAAUUAAAAAAUAAUUUAUUUACUUAUUUGAGUAGAAGAGAGAGUGAAGGCCAGCGCUGCGGCUCAAUAGGCUAAUCCCCCACCUGUGGCGCCGACACACCGGGUUCUAGUCCUGGCCGGGGUGCCGGAUUCUGUCCCAGUUGCCCCUCUUCCAGGCCAGCUCUCUGCUGUGGCCUGGGAGUGCAGUGGAGGAUGGCCCAAGUGCUUGGGCCCUGCACCCCAUGGGAGACAUGGGAGACCAGGAGAAGCACCUGGCUCCUGGCUUCAGAUCAGCGCAGUGCGCCGGCUGUGGCGGCCAUUGGAGGGUGAACCAACGGCAAAGGAAGACCUUUCUCUCUGUCUCUCUCUCUCACUGUCCACUCUGCCUGUCAAAAAAAAAAAAAAAAAAAGAG